UUACCAUGUAAAUCAACCCAUC
rnacentral:miRNA from 1 species